rnacentral:rRNA from 1 species
AGUGAACGCUGGCGGUAGGCCUAACACAUGCAAGUCGAACGGCAGCACAGUAAGAGCUUGCUCUUACGGGUGGCGAGUGGCGGACGGGUGAGGAAUACAUCGGAAUCUACUUUUUCGUGGGGGAUAACGUGGGGAAACUUACGCUAAUACCGCAUACGACCCACGGGUGAAAGCAGGGGAUCUUCGGACCUUGCGCGAUUGAAUGAGCCGAUGUCGGAUUAGCUAGUUGGCGGGGUAAAGGCCCACCAAGGCGACGAUCCGUAGCUGGUCUGAGAGGAUGAUCAGCCACACUGGAACUGAGACACGGUCCAGACUCCUACGGGAGGCAGCAGUGGGGAAUAUUGGACAAUGGGCGCAAGCCUGAUCCAGCCAUACCGCGUGGGUGAAGAAGGCCUUCGGGUUGUAAAGCCCUUUUGUUGGGAAAGAAAAGCAGCAGGUUAAUACCCCGCUGUUCUGACGGUACCCAAAGAAUAAGCACCGGCUAACUUCGUG